rnacentral:rRNA from 1 species
GACGAACGCUGGCGGCGUGCUUAACACAUGCAAGUCGAACGGAAAGACCCUGAUUUCAGGGUACUCGAGUGACGAACGGGUGAGUAACACGUAGGUGGUCUGCCCUGCACUACGGGUUAGGUCAGGUAGACUGGGUCUAAUUAAGGCUAGGUAACAUUUUUAAUGUGAUGGUUGGAUAGUUACUUGCGUGUUUGCUGAGUUCGCUGGCUAUCGGCUUGCUGGUGCGGUAAUGGGCUACCAAGGCGGCGUAGGGUAGCCGGCCUGAGAGGGUGGACGGCCACAUUGGGACUGAGAGACGGCCCAGACACCGACGCGAGGCAGCAGGGGGGAAUAUUGCACAAUGGGCGCAAGCCUGAUGCAGCAGCGCCGCGGGUGGGAUGACGGCCUUCGGGUUGAAAACUCAUUUCGCUAGUGACGAAGCUUGUUGUGACGGUACCUAGAUAAGAAGCACCGGCUAACUACGUG